rnacentral:rRNA from 1 species
CACGUAGUUAGCCGUGGCUUCCUCCUCAGGUACCGUCAUUAUCGUCCCUGAAGACAGAGCUUUACAACCCGAAGGCCGUCAUCACUCACGCGGCGUUGCUGCAUCAGGGUUUCCCCCAUUGUGCAAUAUUCCCCACUACUGCCUCCCGUAGGAGUCUGGGCCGUGUCUCAGUCCCAAUGUGGCCGAUCACCCUCUCAGGUCGGCUACGCAUCGUCGCCUUGGUGAGCCCGUUACCUCACCAACUAGCUAAUGCGCCGCGGGUCCAUCUCAUAGCGGAUUACUCCUUUAAUUGCUGUACCAUGCGGUACUACAAUCUUAUGCGGUAUUAAUCUUCCUUUGAAAGCUAUUCCCUCUAUGAGCAGGUUACCCAGUGUUACUCACCCGUCCGCCGCUAAUCCAUUCCCCGAAGGAAAUUCAUCGCUCGACUUGCAUGUGUUAGGCACGCGCCAGCGUCGUCCUCGAGCCACGGAGUACAAACGUACCUACUCGUAGACUCGCAACC